rnacentral:lncRNA from 1 species
ACAGACUGAAACUGGAUUCUCGAGUUCUCUGCAGGAUUAACUCACGUGCCCAGCAACGGCACUGGGAAACACAGUGGCUUCCUGCUCACCCGUCCUGUCCCCAAGCAGCCUCUCUAUAUGGCUAGGCUAGGACAAAAAAUGUGCCAGUUGAAAACAGCAUGGUGGUCUCAAGGUAGUCUAGCUGUUGUGUCGUCUCAGGGUUCUCUGAAGAAGGCACAUCCAAAGAGAGCCAAUGAGGCUGCAAGACUGCUUGCAACUUGGAAGCAGGUACGUCUGUGCACCAUAUGCAUGCAGCGCCCAAGAAGGCCGGAAGAAGGUGUCAGAUCCCUUGAGACUGGAGUGACCGAGGGUUGUGAGCUGCCCUGUGGGUGCUGGGAAUUGAACCCAAGCCCUCUGCAAGAGCAUCCAGGCCUCUUAACCACUGAGUAGUCUCUCUAACCCCUAGGGGUAUUAAAUUUUAAACAUCAUUAUUCUACAAAUAAAAUUCAUUCAUUUUUCCAAAUAAGCAUAUAAACUUAAGCAAAUAAAAAAAAUUUAAAAAAUGAAUCACUGUCGUCCUGGGCUGGAACAGUGAAGUUUCUGUUUACUUGACCGGGAGUCUGCAGACACAGCUGUUUAGUUUUCUCCCCGUUGGCUGGCAACUCAGCUCAGGAAAGCUCUCAGUGUUGCUCAAGUGGAGAGCGGGGGAGCCAGACCCCAGAUGUCACAGCAGACAUAGGGGCUCAGAUACUGAGUGGGUUGGAUAGAUAAAUGAUUUGAGCAGAUGCCACAUUGAAGUCAAGAAGGGGAGCAACUGCCGUCCUAUUUGCUAUGGUGAUUGACAGUCACAAUGGGGCAGCCUGCACUGAGACUCAUCCCACGGACACUGACGUCAAUGAUGAUAGCUAACCAGAUACGGAAUGUUACACUGUGUCCCCAAGUUUACAGAAUGAAGGUGGAACGUUCCACUCCACCACCAUUUCUCCUGAUCUUCAAGGGCCUGUGGCCUUGUUCCCAUCCCCUGAUAUCAAAAUGAGCAAGAAUGAACAGCAAUCCGGCCUCACUCAGUUCUGUGUGUCAAACAGCCCAAAUGUCCAGGCUUCCAUAGCUUAAAAUAACAAAAUAAAGUUAUAGUCCUUUCUAAUUAACAUUUUUAAAAGACUUAUUUACUUCCAUUUUAUGUUCAUGAAUGGUUUUCUUGCACCUAUAUGUACUACAUGCCUGAUGCCCAUAGAAGCCAGAACAGAGUGUGUCAGAUCCCGUGGAACUGAAGUUACAGAUGGUUGUGAGCCACUAUGUGGUUUCUGGGAAUUGAACCCAGGUCCUCUGGAAGAGCAGCCAGUGCUCCACACCUCUGAGCAUCUCUCCAGCCCACAGUUAGAAUUCUUUAGGAUGUAGAAGCUAUGAAACUUCAGUCCCACCUACGUUGUCCUGUGAGCUGUGGCAGGUGGUGGGGUGUCUACUCCUGCUACCCUUCCCAGUUCCCCCACUGUCCCCUCCUCCUGAUACCCUCACUUCCCCUCCCACCUGCUCCUCAGAGAGGGUAAGGCCUCCCAUAGGAAGUCUACUAAGUCUGUCCCAUCAUCUCAUUGAGGCAGGACCAAGGCACCUCUCCAUGCCCCACACCCCUGUGUCUAAGCUGAGCAAGGUAUCUCUCCAUAUAGCAUGGGCUCCACUAAGUCAGUUUGUGCAUUAGAGUUAGAUCUUGGACCCACUGCCAGUGGCCUCAUACAUUGUCCCAGUCACACCAUUGUCACCUAUAUUAAGGGAGUCUGGUUCAGUCUUAUGCAGGUUCCCCAUUUGUCAGACCUGAGUCAGUGAUCUCUCAGUAGCUCGGGUCAGCUGAUCCUGUGGGUUUCCCCAUCACGGUCUUGGCUCCUUUGUUCAUAUUAUCUCUCCUCACUCACGUCAAUUGUACUCCAGGAGCUUGGCCCAUUGGUUAGUUGUGGAUUUCUGCAUCUGCUUCCAUCUGUUUCUGGAAGAGGGUUCUAGCUUCUCUGGGGUUGUGGAUUGUAGGCUGGGUAGCUUUUGCUUUGUGUCUGGUAUCCCCUUAUGAGUGAGUACAUACUAUAUUUGUCUUUCUGGUUCUGGGUUACCUCACUCAGGAUGGUUUUUUCUAGUUCUGUCCAUUUGCCUCCAAAUUUUAGGAUGUCAUUGUUUUUUACCGCUGAGUAGUACUCCAUUGUGUAAAUGUACCACGUUUUCUUUAUCCAUUCUUCAGUUGAGGGGCAUCUAAGUUGUUUCUAGGAUCUGGCUAUUACAAAUGAUGUGUGUGAAAAAGGUCCACACAUUUGCCAGGCGUGACACUAUUCAUGAGUCUCCAUCUCUGUCCCAGAGCACAUGAGACAGCUGUCAAAUUUCUGAGCCUUUUUCUCCUUCCUCUGACUGACUAACAUAGAAGAUCUGUGUUGCCAUGGAGAGCCUGAAGUGUUCUGGAGAGAUUAGGAGCCUGGCUACAGAAAGACAAACUCCUUUCAUGGGGGAACCUGCAGAUCUGGUCUUGUGUCUAUCCAAGCAUACGGCUGGGUCACAUAGGCUUAUUUCCCAGGAACACUUGCUCCAGGCUUCCCCAGGUCUUUCUUGUUUGUUUAGCAGUAUAGCUCAAUGUUAUGUCUAGCUCCUGCCAGCCUGAGUCCUAGAUACAAGUCCUUCUUAAAGCAAAAGAGAAGCUAAAUAAGUUCCACUUAUUAAAUAAAGUCUGAUUGUCAUACCUCAGAUCUCUCUGUUG